rnacentral:rRNA from 1 species
UACGAAGGGGGGCUAGCGCUGCUCGGAAUUACUGGGCGUAAAGGGCGCGUAGGCGGCACUGUUAGUCAGGCGUGAAAGUCCUGGGCUCAACCUGGGAACUGCGCUUGAUACGGCAGAGCUAGAGGAUGGAAGAGGCUCGCGGAAUUCCCAGUGUAGAGGUGAAAUUCGUAGAUAUUGGGAAGAACACCGGUGGCGAAGGCGGCGAGCUGGUCCAUUACUGACGCUGAGGCGCGACAGCGUGGGGAGCAAACAGG